UACGUAGGGUGCGAGCGUUGUCCGGAAUUAUUGGGCGUAAAGGGCUCGUAGGCGGUUUGUCGCGUCGGGAGUGAAAACCUCGGGCUUAACUCGGGCUUGCUUUCGAUACGGGCAGACUAGAGGUAUGCAGGGGAGAACGGAUUCCUGGAUGUAGCGGUGAAAUGCGCAGAUAUCAGGAGGAACACCGGUGGCGAAGGCGGAUCUCUGGGCCUGUUCUGACGCUGAGGCGCGAAAGCUAGGGGAGCGAACAGG
rnacentral:rRNA from 1 species